ensembl:miRNA eel-mir-11059 eel-mir-11059
AUAUCAUUGGCAUUAGCUUGAAUGAUCUUAGUCAUCUUUAUAUUAAGUUAUAGCCAUAAAGAGGACAAAGGCCAUUCUGGCA